GUGCUUACUUUGACAGCAUUUAUACUAAAAUUAGAAUGACAUAAAAGAUGAGCAUGGCCACUGUGCAAGGAGACACUCAAGUUCAUGAAGUGUCCCAGAUAUUU
rnacentral:snRNA from 1 species